rnacentral:misc_RNA from 1 species
AGAUUCCCGAGCAUUGACCGAGUUCUGGGGGGAAAUCAGGAGAAAUUAAGACAACAGGAAUUCAGAGAAUUUAUCGUUUUGGAAAACGAAAUCUCAGAUGAGAAUAUGACAAGAAGAAAGACAAGACUCACAGAGUACAGAAGUACUUGUCCAUCCUCCAUAGUUUUCAGAGAAAAAGACUUUUCAUUAUGCUGUAUGUGAAAUUAUGUUAGCAUUCACGAAAAUCAUAGAGAAACAUAUUACAGUAUUUUUUUUUCCUUGGGAGGGUUGGGUUCCAACAUUUUAAACACAAAUAUAUGCAAGAAAUAAAUAGAGCAUUCAAAUUAAAUGUAUAGCAUUAUCUGCACUAAACAAAUAACAAAAUGACUCACCACAACAGAGGAAAUUCCCGGAUAGAGGCCAUAGCAAAUAACU